CAGAGUUCUUUAUACAUUGAGCAUCUACAUGAUCUCAUGUGAGCCUUCCAUUCACUAUUAUCACUCUCCCUCUUUUUCAGAUGAGGAAACUCGAGACCUUGAGAAGCUGCACGGCUAAUCCAAGGUCAUAAAGCUUGUCAAACCAGGCAAGGAUGCAAAACCAGUUCUCUUGAAUCUAGGUCUCAAGGAAAUCAAGAAGAAGAAGCCAAUCAAAAGAAAACAACAGCACUAUCUCACCAUGCAACUAAUAUCCUGCUGCAUUUGUCUUUGUGCCCUCUGCAUUGCCGCCUGUUAGGAAGGAUGAAGCACUCAAGUUCCUGGAUUGGGUCUCCUUCCAAGGAGGCGAAUGUUCCGGAUAAACUCUGGGGCAAGAGGCAAUGGCAAACUGAAGAAGUCCUUCCUUUCCAGAGCCAAGUUGUUCACCUUCCAACGGGCAAACUCCCUGGGGGAAAAGCCAAGGGAUAAGGAAAAGCUGACCUCGUUUCAGAGCAAGAGGCAUAAAAUCUGAAGUAGGUAAUGUUCUUCCUCCACUUGCAGCCACUCAUCUCCUCUCAGCCCACAUCCCCUCAGCUGGAGGUGCCCAGAGCCUGGAAGAGGCCCCUUGGCCUCUCACCUGGCCUGUCAUUCACAUGCUGUAAGAAAGCUCUGUCUCCACUGAUCUACAUCAGAG
rnacentral:lncRNA from 1 species